GACGAACGCUGGCGGCGUGCUUAACACAUGCAAGUCGAACGGAAAGGCCCUGCUUUUGUGGGGUGCUCGAGUGGCGAACGGGUGAGUAACACGUGAGUAACCUGCCCUUGACUUUGGGAUAACUUCAGGAAACUGGGGCUAAUACCGGAUAGGAGCUCCUGCUGCAUGGUGGGGGUGGGAAAGUUUCGGCGGUUGGGGAUGGACUCGCGGCUUAUCAGCUUGUUGGUGGGGUAGUGGCUUACCAAGGCUUUGACGGGUAGCCGGCCUGAGAGGGUGACCGGCCACAUUGGGACUGAGAUACGGCCCAGACUCCUACGGGAGGCAGCAGUGGGGAAUAUUGCACAAUGGGCGGAAGCCUGAUGCAGCAACGCCGCGUGCGGGAUGACGGCCUUCGGGUUGUAAACCGCUUUCGCCUGUGACGAAGCGUGAGUGACGGUACUGGGUAAAGAAGCACCGGCUAACUACGUG
rnacentral:rRNA from 1 species